rnacentral:rRNA from 1 species
AACGAACGCUGGCGGCAGGCCUAACACAUGCAAGUCGAACGCCCGUAGCAAUACGGGAGUGGCAGACGGGUGAGUAACGCGUGGGAACGUGCCCUUCGGUUCGGAAUAACUCAGGGAAACUUGAGCUAAUACCGGAUACGUCCGUAAGGAGAAAGAUUUAUCGCCGAAGGAUCGGCCCGCGUCGGAUUAGCUAGUUGGUGAGGUAACGGCCCACCAAGGCGACGAUCCGUAGCUGGUCUGAGAGGANGAUCAGCCACACUGGGACUGAGACACGGCCCAGACUCCUACGGGAGGCAGCAGUGGGGAAUAUUGGACAAUGGGCGAAAGCCUGACCCAGCCAUGCCGCGUGAGUGAAGAAGGCCUUAGGGUUGUAAAGCUCUUUCAGCGGGAAGAUAAUGACGGUACCCGCAGAAGAAGCCCCGGCUAACUUCGUGCCAGCAGCCGCAGUAAG